CCUCAGGACUUUAUAUAGUGAUUAUAUGCUCUUUGUUCCGGACAAGGUUGCGGUCCGCUACGCCGGUAUGCCUGUCUAUAGAGUCUAUAAAUAAUAGCCAAGACUGGCCGAGCCAACGAGCCAACUACGGAAGGUAGAGAUAUUCCACACUCCAUCGAGCCAACUUUUGACACUUGUCCAUCCAUAGAUCGAAUCUGUCUGUAAUGACGUGUUUGACGUUGUUUUUGUUUAUUAAUUUAUUGUCUUAUAGUCUUAUCCAACCUCGAGUCGAGGUCCUCGACAUUGGCACAUUGGCAGAAUCAUCAACUCCUUGAUGGAGCCAUAACACGAAAAAUUUAUUGAUUGAUUACUUCAUCAAAGAUAAUUAAUAUAAUAUUACUUGAUUACGUACUGAUUAUUUAGGGCAGUACAGUAGUUUGAUCUUGCUAAUAAUGUAGAGUUAAUUUUGUUGAUAUACCUAACUCUAACUUCCUCUGGCAAAUGCCCUAGAAAUUGCCAUCUCUAAUAUAAUAAUAACUUAAGAAUAUUGUUGUUCGUUCGCCAUACUGUGAUGUCGGCAUAGAUUAACUUGUAUAUACUAAAUAUACUAAGGAUGUCGAACUCGCUGGAGAAGAGCGCAGAUUGUGUACGGGUCAAAGCCGAGCCUUCGUGGGACUUCGCGAAGCCUGAACUGGUUGAACACAUUGACCAUGUCGUGAAAACAGAGGCCAGUGAGAGUGAUGAAACGGCCUGGGGCCUGAACAAUAACCAUGAGGUUAAGGAAGAACUUAAGAACAAACAGGUCGGGCUCAUUGACCAGGACAUAAAAGCAGAAGAACUUGUGCUAGGUCCCGAGGAGUUCCAGCAGCCAAAAGUGACUUUAGUGUGUCGAGGUUUGUUUUUCUACUAAUAGUAAAAAUACUGGCCAAGUGCGUCGGACUCAUGUACUAGAGGUUCUGUACCAUUAUCUAUAAAAAGGGCAAAAUAAUCAUUUUUGUUGUGGAGCUGGAACAUGUCAAGGCAGAUAUGCUCUAUCAGAUUGGAGCAGAUGCGCGUGGACAUGGAGAACCAUACAUGCACCAUUGGUCAGAACACAUACAAGUUCCGACAGUAUAUCCUGAGUUAUGACAAUUGCACAGAAGAAAAUAAUACAAGCAUUAAUAAACUUGACAGAGAAACUCAGCAUAUCACCGACACUGAGCAUCCAGGCGCUAAAUCUUCAAGCAACAAAUCACUCAUACAUAAGAAAACGCUUGUAAGAAAGAAACUAUACAAAUGUGAUCUCUGUAAUUAUUCUAGUGACAAUAAACAUAAUUUUAAUCGCCACGAAACUAAACAUAGUGGAGAUAAACCUUACAAAUGUGUCUUCUGCAGCUACGCAGCUACUCAAAAAUUUUAUUUAAAGAAACAUUAUGAAACUAAGCAUACUGGUAAUAACAACACUUACAAGUGUGCCCACUGUGGCUAUACUACUGAUAGUAAAAGUCUUUUCGAUCAUCACAAUCGGUCACAUAUACAUGCUCGAAGAAAACCCUACAAGUGUAAAUACUGCAGGUAUGCAGCUUCUGAAGAAGCUGAUAUAACGGUACAUGAAACUAUACAUAAUGGUGUAAACCCUUACAAAUGUGCUUUCUGUAGUUACACUACUUCGUACAAACGUAGUUUAAAAAUUCAUCAAAUGAUACAUAAUGGUGGCAAUCCUUAUAAAUGUGCUAGCUGUAACUACAUUACUUUUCGUGAAAGUAAAUUGAAAGAGCAUGAAAUUACACAUAAAGUAAAGCCGGAGAAAAUGUAUGGGAAGGUGGGGUAAGACGGGGUACCGAGGUAAGAUGAAGACCAUACCAAAACAGAUGAUACAAUUAAGUAAAUUAUUACAAUACUAUCAGAAAAUGGCUAUCAUCACUGCUUCUCGUUAUGAAACUGAAUUAGAGGAAAGACAAGGCAGUAAAAAUCCAAUCCAGACAAAAACUGAAAGAAAGAAACAAAUAUAGUAUGGCUAGGGACUGUCUCAUUCAGAGAAAGACAUAGACAUAUUUACUGUAUUUGUCUUACAUUAGCAUGAACACCCAAAAGAAAAGGAUGAGUUUAGUUUUUUUGUUCUUAUUUACUGACAAACUUGGAAAAUACAAAAGAACCAAAGAAAGCUGAUGAAGGAGCUUAGACAUCAGAUGACGAAGUAACAGAAUUUUUGCACUCUCACGGCUUGUGUUCAGUUGCGAGUGUACCAAUGGAAGGAUCACUUGCCAGACUUGCGGUGAGUGGGCAAAUCGCGGCUGUGGAGUGGGAAAUAACAAUGAAGAAGUUGUCCAUAUCUACCUGGUUUGUGAAGUAACUACGAGUAAAUAUUCUUUACUCCAUCUUACCCGUCUUGCCCCAUUAAUGAGCCAAAUUGGGGAUUUUUUAAAAGUUGAUAAUCUUAUUUAUCUAUUUUGUUCUAGAAAGUAUGAUAUUUUCUUAAUAAAAUUCUCUACACUUUGCAAUACAAAA